AAAUUACACAACUUGAGUUUCUGCUACCUAGAAUAAGUCCUGAACGUCUGAAAAUACUGAUAUUGACUAUAAUAUUGACUAUAUUUCAUGACGGAUCAUCGAGCAUUUGGAUCAGGCCGGAAACUCGAUCCCGGACGCUGGUGAGCUAUGAUAUAUCCGAGUGCAUAUCCGAGAUGCCCAUGAGCUGCUAGUGACAGAUCCGCUAAUGGUUCAUCAAAACUCUACUCCAAUCGCCCAAUAUCAACUGAUUUAGUUUAGGCCGUCCGAUAAGUAUUUUCUCCAUUUGAUCUCCGAUCAAGGCGUAAUUGGUGUCAAAACGAAGUUUGAGAAGUGUAGAUCAUGAUCCCCGAGUUUGAUGGUCCAAAUUGGCCGCCGAUUGGUCGAAAUCUAGUCGAAGAGCCACAAAAUACUAAAUUUCUCUCUAUUCGAAUCUUGCUCUCCCAUUCACCAAAUGAAACACCGUCACAUCUGAAAGCUUAUGAUCCCAGGAGUCCAUAGCAUUUGAAAUCGCUGGAAAAGACUGCUAAUCGAUGCCGGAAUGGCGUUGGGAAGUUGUGGUGCUACUUUUCUUUUUCUCCUCGAUUUGGCUAUUUCUCGACGUUGUUCCUCGCCGUUUUCUGUCACUUGACUACUGGCCGGCAUCACUGGUUGGGGGUCGUUGACUGGAGUGGCUAGUUGGUGGUGAGUGUUGCUAGAAAAGGAAGAACAAAGGGGGAGGAGGCGGCUUACGGGAUGGAAACGGGGAAAAAAAAAAAUGGGGAGGGA
rnacentral:misc_RNA from 1 species